UUUGCUCCUUCUGAAGCCUCUAUAUAUGAAGGGUUAUUUAUUGUGGCACUAGCACUUGCUAAAACUUAAUGGGAAAAAAAUAUUGUAAGCAUCACCAUGGUAUUUGUCACAGUUGCAAGUAAUAAUUUUGUUUCCAAAAUCUGUCUGCUCAUUCUUCUUCUUUUUCCUCCCCCCCCCCUUUUUUUUUUCUUCAGAAAAGAUGCCCUGCUGAUAUGAAAAUUGCAUAUGCUGCACUUGGAUGGACAGAUUAAAAACACCCAGAACCAAGCUUAUUCAUGGAGGAACCAGGUGAAAUUUCCUAUUCAGGUAUGUGCCGCAUGGUGUAUUGAGGGUAGAUACAAACUCUGCUCAUGCUCUGAGGUGACCAAAAUCUGUAUGACCAGAGGAGUGUGCUGCAGCAUACUGGCAGUGAGCACCAGCUGGAGGCUCCUCUGGAUCCAUGCAUCCCACCUGGAAUUCAGGCACAGCUCACACAAUGAUGUGAUGGGCAGCAGGGCUGUAGCUAUGAUUAAAGACUGAUUGCUAACCCAGUUCCUGUCUGCAGGAUUAGAUACUGCUCAGGAGAAAUAUGUUCCAAGUGACAGCAUCUUUGACAACUUGUACUUUUUGUUCUACCUUUUGUUCUUCUUCCUGUGAAAAGCCAUGUGAUGAAGAUUGCUGGAGAACAUUGAUACCUUCCCUACU
rnacentral:lncRNA from 1 species